AUACGUAGGGUGCUAGCGUUGUUCGGAAUCAUUGGGCGUAAAGCGUGUGUAGGUGGCUUAGUAAGUUGAUUGUGAAAUCCCUCGGCUCAACCGAGGAAGUGCAGUCAAAACUGCUAGGCUAGAGGAUGGCAGAGGAAGGUGGAAUUCCAAGUGUAGAGGUGAAAUUCGUAGAUAUUUGGAGGAAUACCGGCGGCGAAGGCGGCCUUCUGGACCAUUCCUGACACUGAGACACGAAAGCGUGGGUAGC
rnacentral:rRNA from 1 species